GGAAUAUUGCGCAAUGGAGGAAACUCUGACGCAGUGACGCCGCGUAUAGGAAGAAGGUUUUCGGAUUGUAAACUAUUGUCGAUAGGGAAGAAAAAAGACUGUACCUAUCAAGAAAGCUACGGCUAACUACGUGCCAGCAGCCGCGGUAAUACGUAGGGAGCAAGCGUUAUCCGGAUUUAUUGGGUGUAAAGGGUGCGUAGACGGGAAAUUAAGUUAGUUGUGAAAUCCCUCGGCUCAACUGAGGAACUGCAACUAAAACUGGUUUUCUUGAGUGCAGGAGAGGAAAGUGGAAUUCCUAGUGUAGCGGUGAAAUGCGUAGAUAUUAGGAGGAACACCAGUGGCGAAGGCGACUUUCUGGACUGUAACUGACGUUGAGGCACGAAAGUGUGGGGAGCAAACA
rnacentral:rRNA from 1 species